rnacentral:rRNA from 1 species
GAGUAGUAGGUAGCGUGAAGCAUAGAUAUACAUAGAUACCAUUGCGAAGGCAGGUACUAAAUUCAACUGACACUGAUGACGAAAGCGUGGGAGCGAACAGGAUUAGAUACCCUGGUAGUCCACGCCGUAAACGAUGCAUACUCGCUGUCGGGCGCAAGCUCGGUGGCUAAGCGAAAGUGAUAAGUAUGCCACCUGGGGAGUACGAUCGCAAGAUUGAAACUCAAAGGAAUUGACGGGGGCCCGCACAAGCGGUGGAUCAUGUGGUUUAAUUCGAUGAUACGCGAGGAACCUUACCAAGGCUUAAAUGUAGUUUGACAGGUUUAGAAAUAGACUCUCCUUCGGGCAAAUUACAAGGUGCUGCAUGGCUGUCGUCAGCUCGUGCCGUGAGGUGUUAGGUUAAGUCCUGCAACGAGCGCAACCCCUAUCAUUAGUUGCCAGCGAGUCAUGUCGGGGACUCUAAUGAGACUGCCAGUGCAAACUGUGAGGAAGGUGGGGACGACGUCAAGUCAUCACGGCCCUUACGCCUUGGGCUACACACGUGAUACAAUGGCAAGUACAGAGGGCAGCUACUGGGUGACCAGAUGCGAAUCUUCAAAGCUUGUCUCAGUUCGGAUUGGAGUCUGCAACUCGACUCUAUGAAGCUGGAAUCGCUAGUAAUCGCGCAUCAGCCAUGGCGCGGUGAAUACGUUCCCGGGCCUUGUACACUCCGCCC